rnacentral:rRNA from 1 species
CGAGCGGACCGGGCGGAAGCUUGCUUCCGCUUGGUUAGCGGCGGACGGGUGAGUAACACGUGGGUAACCUGCCCGUAAGACCGGGAUAACUCCGGGAAACCGGAGCUAAUACCGGAUAACACCGAAGUCCGCAUGGUCUUUGGUUGAAAGGCGGCUUCGGCUGCCACUUACGGAAGGGCCCGCGGCGCAUUAGCUAGUUGGUGAGGUAACGGCUCACCAAGGCGACGAUGCGUAGCCGGCCUGAGAGGGUGACCGGCCACACUGGGACUGAGACACGGCCCAGACUCCUACGGGAGGCAGCAGUAGGGAAUCUUCCGCAAUGGACGAAAGUCUGACGGAGCGACGCCGCGUGAGCGAAGAAGGUCUUCGGAUCGUAAAGCUCUGUUGUUAGGGAAGAAGAAGCCCGUUCGAACAGGGCG